AUAAAACUCAACAACUCCCUCAAACAG
rnacentral:piRNA from 1 species